AUUGGUAGUUCAGUUUUGUGCUGUUGGUAUCAUUAUUACUACUUUUACUUGAUGAUUUUGUCGGUGUGUUGGUGUCGGUGUUGGCUAAUGGAAUUUCAUCGUUGAGAGAAAGAAAGGGGAAGGGUUACAGAUAAACAGGCGCCACCGUGGCACCCUUCUAACCCGACAUAAAUCUAAAUUGGUGGUCGUCUGCUGUGUGUGAGUUUCGUUCCGAGGGUAAACGUGAUGAUAGCUUAAAAGAAAGAAAAAAAAGAAAAAGUAAAGACAAAAGAAA
rnacentral:lncRNA from 1 species